AUUGAACGCUGGCGGCAGGCCUAACACAUGCAAGUCGAGCGGAUGAAGAGAGCUUGCUCUCUGAUUUAGCGGCGGACGGGUGAGUAAUGCCUAGGAAUCUGCCUGGUAGUGGGGGACGACGUUUCGAAAGGAACGCUAAUACCGCAUACGUCCUACGGGAGAAAGUGGGGGAUCUUCGGACCUCACGCUAUCAGAUGAGCCUAGGUACGAUUAGCUAGUUGGUGAGGUAAAGGCUCACCAAGGCGACGAUCGUUAACUGGUCUGAGAGGAUGAUCAGUCACACUGGAACUGAGACACGGUCCAGACUCCUACGGGAGGCAGCAGUGGGGAAUAUUGGACAAUGGGCGAAAGCCUGAUCCAGCCAUGCCGCGUGUGUGAAGAAGGUCUUCGGAUUGUAAAGCACUUUAAGUCGGGAGGAAGGGCUGUAGGCUAAUACCUUGCAGUUUUGACGUUACCGACAGAAUAAGCACCGGCUAACUUCGUGCCAGCCGCCGCCGUAAAAC
rnacentral:rRNA from 1 species